rnacentral:rRNA from 1 species
AAAUUGAAGAGUUUGAUCAUGGCUCAGAUUGAACGCUGGCGGCAGGCCUUACACAUGCAAGUCGAACGGUAACAGGAAACAGCUUGCUGUUUCGCUGACGAGUGGCGGACGGGUGAGUAAUGUCUGGGAAACUGCCUGAUGGAGGGGGAUAACUACUGGAAACGGUAGCUAAUACCGCAUAACGUCGCAAGACCAA